rnacentral:rRNA from 1 species
AGAGUUUGAUCCUGGCUCAGGACGAACGCUGGCGGCGUGCCUAAUACAUGCAAGUCGAACGCACUGACAGAGAAACUUGUUUCUCUUGACGUGAGUGGCGCACGGGUGAGUAACACGUGGGAAACCUACCCUUCAGCGGGGGAUAACCGUCGGAAACGAUGGCUAAUACCGCAUAGGUCUUUUAACCACCUGGUUGAAAGAGGAAAGACGGCUUCGGCUGUCACUGAAGGAUGGUCCCGCGGUGCAUUAGCUAGUUGGUAAGGUAACGGCUUACCAAGGCGAUGAUGCAUAGCCGACCUGAGAGGGUGAUCGGCCACAUUGGGACUGAGACACGGCCCAAACUCCUACGGGAGGCAGCAGUAGGGAAUCUUCCGCAAUGGACGAAAGUCUGACGGAGCAACGCCGCGUGUGUGAAGAAGGUCUUCGGAUCGUAAAGCACUGUUAUUAGAGAAGAACAACCGGUAGAGUAACUGUUACCGGCUUGACGGUAUCUAACCAGAAAGCCACGGCUAACUACGUGCCAGCAGCCGCGGUAAUACGUAGGUGGCAAGCGUUGUCCGGAUUUAUUGGGCGUAAAGGGAGCGCAGGCGGUGACUUAAGUCUGAUGUGAAAGCCCACGGCUCAACCGUGGAAGGUCAUUGGAAACUGGGUCACUUGAGUGCAGAAGAGGAAAGUGGAAUUCCAUGUGUAGCGGUGAAAUGCGUAGAUAUAUGGAGGAACACCAGUGGCGAAGGCGACUUUCUGGUCUGUAACUGACGCUGAGGCUCGAAAGCGUGGGGAGCAAACAGGAUUAGAUACCCUGGUAGUCC